rnacentral:rRNA from 1 species
AACGAACGCUGGCGGCAUGCCUAACACAUGCAAGUCGAACGAGACCUUCGGGUCUAGUGGCGCACGGGUGCGUAACGCGUGGGAACCUGCCCUUAGGUUCGGAAUAACUCCCCGAAAGGGGUGCUAAUACCGGAUAAUGUCUUCGGACCAAAGACUUAUCGCCUUUGGAUGGGCCCGCGUUGGAUUAGCUAGUUGGUAGGGUAAAAGCCUACCAAGGCGACGAUCCAUAGCUGGUCUGAGAGGAUGAUCAGCCACACUGGGACUGAGACACGGCCCAGACUCCUACGGGAAGCAGCAGUGGGGAAUAUUGGACAAUGGGCGAAAGCCUGAUCCAGCAAUGCCGCGUGAGUGAUGAAGGCCUUAGGGUUGUAAAGCUCUUUUACCCGGGAUGAUAAUGACAGUACCGGGAGAAUAAGCUCCGGCUAACUCCGUG